AGUGAACGCUGGCGGUAGGCCUAACACAUGCAAGUCGAACGGCAGCACAGUAAGAGCUUGCUCUUACGGGUGGCGAGUGGCGGACGGGUGAGGAAUACAUCGGAAUCUACUUUUUCGUGGGGGAUAACGUAGGGAAACUUACGCUAAUACCGCAUACGACCUACGGGUGAAAGCAGGGGAUCUUCGGACCUUGCGCGAUUGAAUGAGCCGAUGUCGGAUUAGCUAGUUGGCGGGGUAAAGGCCCACCAAGGCGACGAUCCGUAGCUGGUCUGAGAGGAUGAUCGGCCACACUGGAACUGAGCCACGGUCCAGACUCCUACGGGAGGCAGCAGUGGGGAAUAUUGGACAAUGGGCGCAAGCCUGAUCCAGCCAUACCGCGUGGGUGAGGAAGGCCUUCGGGUUGUAAAGCCCUUUUGUUGGGAAAGAAAAGCAGCAGGUUAAUACCCCGCUGUUCUGACGGUACCCAAAGAAUAAGCACCGGCUAACUUCGUG
rnacentral:rRNA from 1 species